CCCCUCUCAGGGUCACACCUGGAGAGUUUCCAAUAUUCUACCAGUUUCGACUACGGGAGGGAGAAUCAAACAGAGGCUGACCCUUCCAUUCUUAGCUUGGCCAGUGGCUAGUGAGUGGAAGGCAAUCUGCUCCAAGU